UCGAGCUGCUUCAUUGCUUGAAUCUAAAGGUUAUGUUUGGAAUAAAUGAAUUUAUCUGCAUAAUUUAUUUGAAAAUCUAUUUUUAAUUUAAAAAUGAGAGGAUAAAUAUCUAUUCCAAAAUUACAAAAAUUGAGUCUAGUUCUAAGUAGAACUAUCUAGAAUGUCAAUUUUUAUAAUUUUGGAAGGCAUAACCGGUUGUACUUUAAAAAAAUGUAGAUUUUCAAAUAAAUUUUCUUUGUUCUAAACAUAACCUAAGUAAGUUGGAGCAGGGGCUAGUAUAAUGAGCUCGAAUUGUCAGGUUAUGGAAAUCAAUGGUGCUGAGCUGCUAAACAGGAGAUUCCUGCAGACCGUGGAGAAACUUUCGGAUGACACCUCUUCCGAAGCAGGAAAAAAUCAGCACGGUAGAAUGUCAUCUGUUUCUUCGUUACUUAGACAUUUUGGCUAUAGCCCUUUCUCUCCCUAUUUUACUGUGCUUUCUAAAUUGAUGUUUGUUAAGAUAUCUGAAUCAACAUAAUAAUGUAAGUUGUAGCAUUGUAACGUGAGAAAUGCAAGUUAAAAUUUGUUGUAGUAGUGACAUUGCUGGAGCAAAAACUGAAGUGCUCCAUAAUAAAGUCAUAUUUUGAUUAGCA